AACGAACGCUGGCGGCAGGCUUAACACAUGCAAGUCGAACGCGCCCUUCGGGGCGAGUGGCAGACGGGUGAGUAACGCGUGGGAACCUACCUCAUGGUACGGAAUAACUCAGGGAAACUUGAGCUAAUACCGUAUGUGUCCUUCGGGAGAAAGAUUUAUCGCCAUGGGAUGGGCCCGCGUCGGAUUAGCUAGUUGGUGGGGUAAUGGCCUACCAAGGCGACGAUCCGUAGCUGGUCUGAGAGGAUGAUCAGCCACACUGGGACUGAGACACGGCCCAGACUCCUACGGGAGGCAGCAGUGGGGAAUAUUGGACAAUGGGGGCAACCCUGAUCCAGCCAUGCCGCGUGAGUGAUGAAGGCCUUAGGGUUGUAAAGCUCUUUCGCCGGUGAAGAUAAUGACGGUAACCGGAGAAGAAGCCCCGGCUAACUUCGUGCCAGCCGCCGCGGUAAUAC
rnacentral:rRNA from 1 species